rnacentral:rRNA from 1 species
UACGAAGGGAGCUAGCGUUGUUCGGAAUCACUGGGCGUAAAGCACACGUAGGCGGAUGUGUCAGUCAGGGGUGAAAUCCCGGAGCUCAACUUCGGAACUGCCUUUGAUACAGCACGUCUUGAGUCCGAUAGAGGUGGGUGGAAUUCCUAGUGUAGAGGUGAAAUUCGUAGAUAUUAGGAAGAACACCGGUGGCGAAGGCGGCCCACUGGAUCGGUACUGACGCUGAGGUGCGAAAGCGUGGGGAGCAAACAGG